rnacentral:tRNA from 1 species
CAGGGAGACAACAAAAUGUUUAAUAUUAUUUUGUCACCUUAGGUCGAUCGGUAUCUCACGUUCUUAACUAAUUAAGAAUUUCAAUUCCUAAGUUUUUCUAGGUCACACCCAUUAUUUUUCCUGGGCCAUUAGCUCAGGUGGUUAGAGCGCACCCCUGAUAAGGGUGAGGUCCCUGGUUCAAGUCCAGGAUGGCCCAUAUCUCUAUGUUGGGGGUAUAGCUCAGUUGGUAGAGCGCCUGCUUUGCAAGCAGGAUGUCAGCGGUUCGAGUCCGCUUACCUCCACUGAUUACCACCUCUUCCAUAAUCUGUAGAAAGGAAAUUUUUUGAGUUGUGAUCAACUUCUGAACGAAUCUAGCUUCCUAAUGAAAGUAUUAAGAUGCUGGACUCAUUGAAUUAAUUUCAUUGUUUUCAGAGAACCUUGACAACUGCAUAGAUUAUUUUUUAAAGACAAUAAGCAUCUUUAAUGAUGCAGAUUUAUUAUUUGUGCGAAUGCAUUAAUAACAAUUCUAUUAAGCUGAUGCUUCAAUUUUGAAGUUAUU